GACGAACGCUGGCGGCGUGCUUAACACAUGCAAGUCGAACGGAAAGGCCCCUUCGGGGGUACUCGAGUGGCGAACGGGUGAGUAACACGUGGGCAAUCUGCCCUGCACUUCGGGAUAAGCCUGGGAAACUGGGUCUAAUACCGGAUAGGACCUUUAGGCGCAUGUCUAUUGGUGGAAAGCUUUUGCGGUGUGGGAUGGGCCCGCGGCCUAUCAGCUUGUUGGUGGGGUGAUGGCCUACCAAGGCGACGACGGGUAGCCGGCCUGAGAGGGUGUCCGGCCACACUGGGACUGAGAUACGGCCCAGACUCCUACGGGAGGCAGCAGUGGGGAAUAUUGCACAAUGGGCGCAAGCCUGAUGCAGCGACGCCGCGUGGGGGAUGACGGCCUUCGGGUUGUAAACCUCUUUCACCAUCGACGAAGGUCCGGGUUUUCUCGGAUUGACGGUAGGUGGAGAAGAAGCACCGGCCAACUACG
rnacentral:rRNA from 1 species